rnacentral:rRNA from 1 species
GAUGAACGCUGGCGGCGUGCUUAACACAUGCAAGUCGAACGGAAAGGCCCUGCGCUUGCGGGGUGCUCGAUUGGCGAACGGGUGAGUAACACGUGAGUAACCUGCCCCUGACUUUGGGAUAACUUCAGGAAACUGGGGCUAAUAUCGCAUAGGAUCUCUUGCUCCACGGGGGGGGUUGGAAAGUUUCGGCGGUUGGGGCUGGACUCGCGGCUUAUCCGCUUGUUGGUGGGGUAGUGGCUUACCAAGGCUUUGACGGGUAGCCGGCCUGAGAGGGUGACCGGCCACAUUGGGCCUGAACUACGGCCCAGACUACUACAGGAGGCAGCAGUGGGGAAUAUUGCACAAUGGGAGGAAGCGUGAUGCAGCAACGCCGCGUGCGGGAUAACGGCUUUCAGGUUGUAAACCGCUUUCGCCUGUGACGAAGCGUGAGUGACGGUAAUGGGUAAAGGAGCACCGGCUAACUACGUG